GCACGGUGGCGCAGUUGGUAGCACUGUUGACUUGCAGCAAAAAGGUCCUGGGUUCGAUUCCCGGCCGGGGGGGUCU